rfam:Schistosoma rodhaini strain Burundi genome assembly, scaffold: SROB_scaffold0005278
CUGCUGAUGAGGAGUCGCAUAAUAGGACGAAACGGCCGUUCAGUGG